rnacentral:rRNA from 1 species
UACAGAGGGGGCAAGCGUUGUUCGGAAUCACUGGGCUUAAAGGGUUCGUAGGCGGCUCGUUAGGUAGGGUGUGAAAGCCCCCGGCUCAACCGGGGAAUUGCGCCCUAAACCGGCGGGCUGGAGUGAGAUAGGGGUGUGUGGAACUUCCGGUGGAGCGGUGAAAUGUGUUGAUAUCGGAAGGAACGCCGGUGGCGAAAGCGACACACUGGGUCUCAACUGACGCUGAGGCACGAAAGCCAGGGGAGCAAACGGG